GUGCCAGCCGCCGCGGUAAUACGGAGGGUGCGAGCGUUGUCCGGAAUCAUUGGGCGUAAAGGGCGCGUAGGUGGCGGGACAAGCGUGCGGUGAAAGCCUGGGGCUCAACCCCGGGUCGGCCGUGCGAACUGUUUUGCUUGAGCACUGUAGAGGCAGGCGGAAUUCCGGGUGUAGCGGUGGAAUGCGUAGAGAUCCGGAAGAACACCGGUGGCGAAGGCGGCCUGCUGGGCAGUAGCUGACACUGAGGCGCGACAGCGUGGGGAGCAAACAGGAUUAGAUACCCCCGUAGUCC
rnacentral:rRNA from 1 species